CCUACGGGUGGCAGCAGUGAGGAAUAUUGGUCAAUGGACGAGAGUCUGAACCAGCCAAGUAGCGUGAAGGAUGACUGCCCUAUGGGUUGUAAACUUCUUUUAUAAAGGAAUAAAACGAGGCACGUGUGCCUUUUUGCAUGUACUUUAUGACUACGAAUCGGCUAACUCCGUGCCAGCAGCCGCGGUAAUACGGAGGACCCCACCGUUGUCCGGAUUUAUUUGGUUUAAAGGGCGCGUAUAUGGGUUGUUCAGUCAGUUGUGAAGGUUUGCGUCUCAACCGUAAAAUUGCAAUUGAUACUGGCAGUCUUGAGUACAGUUGAGGUAGGCGGAAUUCGUGGUGUAGCGGUGAAAUGCUUAGAUAUCACGAAGAACCCCGAUUGCGAAGGCAGCUUACUAAACUGUGACUGACAUUGAUGCUCGAAAGUGUGGGUAUCAAACAGGAUUAGAUACCCCAGUAGUC
rnacentral:rRNA from 1 species